rnacentral:rRNA from 1 species
GUCUACUCGGAAUUUGGUGUCUUGAACACUGGGUUCUCAAGCUAACGCAUUAAGUAGACCGCCUGGGGAGUACGGCCGCAAGGUUAAAACUCAAAUGAAUUGACGGGGGCCCGCACAAGCGGUGGAGCAUGUGGUUUAAUUCGAUGCAACGCGAAGAACCUUACCUACUCUUGACAUCCAGAGAAUUUUCCAGAGAUNGAUUAGUGCCUUCGGGANCUCUGAGACAGGUGCUGCAUGGCUGUCGUCAGCUCGUGUUGUGAAAUGUUGGGUUAAGUCCCGCAACGAGCGCAACCCUUAUCCUUAUUUGCCAGCACGUAAUGGUGGGAACUUUAGGGAGACUGCCGGUGAUAAACCGGAGGAAGGUGGGGACGACGUCAAGUCAUCAUGGCCCUUACGAGUAGGGCUACACACGUGCUACAAUGGCGAGUACAGAGGGUUGCGAAGCCGCGAGGUGGAGCUAAUCUCAUAAAGCUCGUCGUAGUCCGGAUUGGAGUCUGCAACUCGACUCCAUGAAGUCGGAAUCGCUAGUAAUCGUGGAUCAGAAUGCCACGGUGAAUACGUUCCCGGGCCUUGUACACACCGCCCGUCACACCAUGGGAGUGGGCUGCACC